rnacentral:rRNA from 1 species
GAGCCCAAGAUUGAAAGCUGGCGUCUUCGGCGUCCGCAUUGUAAUCUCAAGAAGUGUUUUCCGCUUCGGACCAAGCCUAAGUCCCCUGGAAAGGGGCAUCAUAGAGGGUGAUAAUCCCGUACAUGGCUUGGAGCGCCCGAGGCUUUGUGAUACGCUUUCUAAGAGUCGAGUUGUUUGGGAAUGCAGCUCAAAAUGGGUGGUAAAUGCCAUCUAAGGCUAAAUAUUGGGGAGAGACCGAUAGCGAACAAGUACAGUGAUGGAAAGAUGAAAAGAACUUUGAAAAGAGAGUUAAACAGUACGUGAAAUUGCCAAAAGGGAAGGGUAGGAGGUCAGAGAUGCGUCUUGGGAUUCAGCCUUGCUUUUGCUUGGUGUUUUUCCCAGAUUGCAGGCCAACGUCGGUUUUGGGCACUGGAGAAGGGUAGGAGGAACGUGGCACCCCUCGGGGUGUGUUAUAGCCUCCUACUGGAUACAGCGACCGAGACCGAGGACAGCAGCGUACUCGCAAGAGCGGGCCUUCGGGCACCUUUACGCUUAGGGCGUUGGCAUAAUGGCCCUCUACCACCCGUCUUGA